rnacentral:rRNA from 1 species
AUGACGAUUUUGUUCUCGCGCGAGCAAGAGCUGCUCAUCUCCGUUGUAUUUGUCUUUCUUGCAUUCCUCUACAUGUACUCCAGGUCUAGUAGUCGAUCACAUGGCCAAUCAGUGCUCCCCGCAGACUGGCCAAUAGUGCACAUGUUGCCUGGAGUCAUUGCCAACCUCCAUAAUGCACAUGACUAUUUCGCUGCUAUCCUUACUGAAGCAGGCCACAACUUCAGGCUACAUAUUCCCCAAAGGCACAUAUUUCUCACUUGUGACCCUGGGAACGUCCGGCACAUCUUCACAACGAACCACGCAAACUUCCCCAAGGGCCUCGAGUUUGCAGCCAUCUUCGACAUAAUGGAUGGAGGCAUCUUCACAGUCGACGGUGAGCCAUGGCGACGGCAGCGUACAAAAUUCCAGAGCGUGCUCAGCAGCCCAGGGUUGGUUUCCAGUAUGGCGGCAUGCUGCCUCGACAAGGUAGAGAAUGGCCUCCUCCCCUUUUUUACCCACAUGGCAAGCACCAACACUCCAUUUGACAUGCAAGAAGUGAUUUCGAGGUUUGUGUUUGACUUGGCUGCCACGCCUCUCUUCGGCGUGGACCCUAGCCUCCUCUCUUCGGACAUGCCGUCCAUGGAUGUUGCAGUUGCCAUGGACACGGUCAUGGAGGUAGGCUUUUUUCGGCACGUCAUGCCGGUCUCUUGUUGGAAAGCUAUGAGGAGGCUAAAUAUCGACCCGGAGAGAAAGCUUGAUGAGGCGCACAAGGUGAUACGAGGCUUUUUCAUGGAGAUGAUCGAGAAGAAAAAGAUCAAUGGAACAUGUGUUUGUAUUAACGGGGAGAAAGAGCGUGUGGAUGUUCUGUCCUCCUACAUCAAUGACCCAGACUACGCAGACGAUGACUUGCUCCGUGCGAAGCUCCUUAGCCUCAUGCUCGGUGGGAGGGACACAAUUGGCACCACGAGUUGCCAUGGAUCUUCUAUAUCCUUGCCAAGAAUCCUAACAUCGUUUCAAUCAUACACAAUGAACUCUCACCCAUUGCAUCACACAAAGUAG